rnacentral:tRNA from 1 species
CGUAAUGUAGUUUAAUUUAAAACGCUUAUUUUACACGUAAGUGAACUCUGUUGAGCUUUGCUA